rnacentral:tRNA from 1 species
AACGUAUUGAUUUAUAUUGGAUAUAGGGUGGAAUCAUAAUCCGCAGGUCCGGGGUUCGAGUCCCUGAUUCGCCACCA